UUCCCUGUGGCUCAGUUGGUAGAGCAUGGUGUUUGCAACACCAGGGUUGUGGGUUUGAUUCCCACGGGGGACC
rfam:Salmo salar isolate Sally breed double haploid chromosome ssa12, whole genome shotgun sequence.